GCUCUGUGGAUCAGUGGCGAACGGGUGAGUAACACGUGAGCAACCUGCCCCGGACUCUGGGAUAAGCGCUGGAAACGGCGUCUAAUACUGGAUACGAGCAGCGGAGGCAUCUUCAGCUGCUGGAAAGAUUUUUUGGUCUGGGAUGGGCUCGCGGCCUAUCAGCUUGUUGGUGAGGUAAUGGCUCACCAAGGCGUCGACGGGUAGCCGGCCUGAGAGGGUGACCGGCCACACUGGGACUGAGACACGGCCCAGACUCCUACGGGAGGCAGCAGUGGGGAAUAUUGCACAAUGGGCGGAAGCCUGAUGCAGCAACGCCGCGUGAGGGACGACGGCCUUCGGGUUGUAAACCUCUUUUAGCAAGGAAGAAGCGAAAGUGACGGUACUUGCAGAAAAAGCGCCGGCUAACUACGUGCCAGCAGCCGCGGUAAUACGUAGGGCGCAAGCGUUAUCCGGAAUUAUUGGGCGUAAAGAGCUCGUAGGCGGUUUGUCGCGUCUGCUGUGAAAACCCGAGGCUCAACCUCGGGCCUGCAGUGGGUACGGGCAGACUAGAGUGCGGUAGGGGAGAUUGGAAUUCCUGGUGUAGCGGUGGAAUGCGCAGAUAUCAGGAGGAACACCGAUGGCGAAGGCAGAUCUCUGGGCCGUAACUGACGCUGAGGAGCGAAAGGGUGGGGAGCAAACAGGCUUAGAUACCCUGGUAGUCCACCCCGUAAACGUUGGGAACUAGUUGUGGGGUCCAUUCCACGGAUUCCGUGACGCAGCUAACGCAUUAAGUUCCCCGC
rnacentral:rRNA from 1 species